rnacentral:rRNA from 1 species
AACGAACGCCGGCGGCAUGCCUAACACAUGCAAGUCGAACGAGAUCUUCGGAGCAGUGGCGGACGGGUGAGUAACGCGUGGGAAUGUGCCCUUAGGUACGGAACAACACAGGGAAACUUGUGCUAAUACCGUAUGUGCCCUUCGGGGGAAAGAUUUAUCGCCUUUGGAGCAGCCCGCGUUGGAUUAGGUAGUUGGUGAGGUAAAGGCUCACCAAGCCGACGAUCCAUAGCUGGUCUGAGAGGAUGACCAGCCACACUGGGACUGAGACACGGCCCAGACUCCUACGGGAGGCAGCAGUAGGGAAUCUUGCGCAAUGGGCGAAAGCCUGACGCAGCCAUGCCGCGUGUAUGAUGAAGGUCUUAGGAUUGUAAAAUACUUUCACCGGGGAAGAUAAUGACGGUACCCGGAGAAGAAGCCCCGGCUAACUUCGUGCCAGCCGCCGCAGUAACAC